UAUAUAUGCAAACCUAACCCUAAAAUCACUCCCCAUUCCAAAAUCGACCGCCGCCGCCACUCCUCUCCUUUCUGUUGCCGCUCCAACGAAAAGGAAGAUGCCGCUGGGGAAGAGGAUGAGAAGACCAUCAAUGGAGGUCCCAGGGCAAAAGAUUGGAGAUCAAACAAAUUAACUUGUAGGCUAGCAGUGCUCCUGCUAGCAGUGCUCCAAGGAUCAGGGGUGAUUUUGAUAUGAGCAGAGCAAUCUCAUUUUGUUUUAUACAUUUCGGAAGCAAGAAAAAUACAAAGGUAUAGAGCAAACUUUGACCUCCUAUUUUUUAACAGUACUGGAAUCAAAUGAACUUAUAUAAGUUUUUUAACUAAAAGUUCUGAUUGCUAGGUAUUAGACUUAGAGAUGGUGUGUUCAUUUCUUAAUUUUGACACCAUGUUCUUUGCAGGUUGUUGGACUCAUUUUAGUGAUUUGUGAAGUGUGGUGUGACUGACUGGAGUCCAACACCAUGUUUUCAUCCUUUUGGCAUCAUUGGAGUAGUGUGCUAUUUCUAUUAGUGAUAUAGUGAUCUAUCCUAUUGUUGCAGUGUCUGGAAAUGUGCCCGGAGUGUUGCUACUGUUGUUGGUGAGCUGCUGCUAACUAGAACUUGCCCUGCUGCCAUGCUGCUGCUUUUGCUAUGACUGGAUGACCAAAACUUACGCUGCCAUGGUGCUGCUGUUGUUGUAGUGACUGAAAUAUGGCUACUUCUUUUAAUUUGAUGGAUGUAUGUUUGGUAUGGCUGGUAAUU